UACGUAGGGUGCAAGCGUUGUCCGGAAUUAUUGGGCGUAAAGAGCUCGUAGGCGGUUUGUCGCGUCGGCCGUGAAAACCUGCAGCUUAACUGUGGGCGUGCGGUCGAUACGGGCAUCACUGGAGUUCGGCAGGGGAGACUGGAAUUCCUGGUGUAGCGGUGAAAUGCGCAGAUAUCAGGAGGAACACCGGUGGCGAAGGCGGCUUCCUGGCCCGUAGCUGACGCUGAGGCGCGAAAGCGUGGGGAGCAAACAGG
rnacentral:rRNA from 1 species